CAACUGCGUUUGUACAUGCUUAUAUUUAAAAAAGCUAGAAUAGACUCUGCAUUUCCUGAUGAUGCAGACGAACGCCGACGACGUAGAGCCUCAGGGGUGGAAUCUCGAGGUCACCUUGAAUUCCCCUCCUCUGAGAGCGCUCUUAUGACCAUAUCAUUUCUGACCUUUGCAGUCUUCCUCAUCAAACUGAUAUUGCAAGUGAUUCACACGUACAAGGCUAAAACGAUGAUGGUGACACCUGCGGUCGUAGCAACAGUUGGUCGAGCGGUAUUCAAAAA